rnacentral:rRNA from 1 species
CCUACGGGCGGCAGCAGUGGGGAAUCUUCCGCAAUGGACGAAAGUCUGACGGAGCAACGCCGCGUGAGUGAAGACGGCCUUCGGGUUGUAAAGCUCUGUGAUCCGGGACGAAAGAGCCUUGGGUGAAUAGCCUAAGGAAGUGACGGUACCGGAAAAGCAAGCCACGGCUAACUACGUGCCAGCAGCCGCGGUAAUACGUAGGUGGCAAGCGUUGUCCGGAAUUAUUGGGCGUAAAGCGCGCGCAGGCGGCUUCCUAAGUCCAUCUUAAAAGUGCGGGGCUUAACCCCGUGAUGGGAUGGAAACUGGGAAGCUGGAGUAUCGGAGAGGAAAGUGGAAUUCCUAGUGUAGCGGUGAAAUGCGUAGAGAUCUGGAGGAAUACCGGUGGCGAAGGCGGCCCCCUGGACAAAGACUGACGCUCAGGUGCGAAAGCGUGGGGAGCAAACAGGAUUAGAUACCCCGGUAGUC